CCUACGGGAGGCAGCAGUGAGGAAUAUUGGUCAAUGGACGCGAGUCUGAACCAGCCAAGUCGCGUGCGGGAAGAAGGCCCUCCGGGUCGUAAACCGCUUUAGCCGGGGAGUAACGUGGGGGACGCGUCCCUCAGUGAGAGUACCCGGAGAAUAAGCAUCGGCUAACUCCGUGCCAGCAGCCGCGGUA
rnacentral:rRNA from 1 species